CUGCCACUCCCGGCAGCCAUUUCCAGAACCCCAGUGCUACAGAGGAGCAGAAAGUGAGGUACAGGCAUGAUCUUCAGUUUGACAACUGGCAUCACAAAUGGGAGAAUGCAGUUUCCUCUCCAGCUGUCUUGGUGUAGACAGAUGCAAGCAGUUCAUGAUCAGUCCCAGGCCCGUUUGGGCAUGUGCCCAAAAGCAUGAACUAGGAAACUUUGAAAGGGAAAUUUGCAGCUGGGCUGAUAGAAAGCUGCUUUAUGCAUCUGGGUCGGCCUCCUUGUUUUUCAGAGCCUGCCGAGAACAAGCGCAUGGAAAUUUUUAAUUAAACAGUGGAAUGGAUUCUUUUCUAAUAGAGCCAAGAGGUUUGCUGGGUUGUUUGAGAAACACCGCACAUACAGGACAGAAAGGUGAGCAUGCCUGUGAACUUGGAGGUGCUGGUUUUAAAAGCGUGGGGGAAUCGGCCCUUUGCAAGCUCUGC